rnacentral:lncRNA from 1 species
AUGCGGAGGAGAGCUGAACGUGGGCAAAGGAAAAGGCACUGCAAUCAGACCCAGCGGAGAGGGAAUGCUUCGCUGCAUGCCGGCGUGCAGAGACAGCCUCGUUCUUUUUAUGGCCUGGCUGAUAAAGCAAUGAGGCAAUCGGCCAUUCCCAUCAGAGAAAGAGGCAUGAUUUGGCUGGGCUUAGCAGCACUCGUCAGUUCUCCUCUCAACUCACCUGCUCAUCCCGCUCCUUUUAUUUCUUUUCAUUACUUUCAUCCUGCCACCCCUGCAGACAACACUGAAGUCGCAUUCAUACUACUAUUGUGCUGUUUUUUGCUUUAUAUUCAGACGGGACCAUAGACAGAAAUUGAGGCAGAAUAAAUGUGUGUAUUAUGAAAAGGAGGUGAACACAGUGAGAGCUCAUUUUAGCUGCACAAACUCGACAGCAACAUACACUUUCAACAUAAAGGACCAGCGCGUAGGUUUUAGUGGCAUCUACCACUCAGGUUGCAGAUUGCAACCAAUUUAAUAUCAAGCAAUCAGCCUUCCAAUUGGAAGGAGGAGAAAUUACAGGGGCUGCAAAACUUGUGAACAAUACAAAAGGUCUUUUCUACAGCCAGUGUUUGGUUUGUAUGUUCUGGGCUACUGCAGAAACAUGGUGGUUCAACACAGUGGACCCACUCCCUCUGUAGAUAAAAAAAACAACUAAUUCUAAGGUAACAAAAACUCAAAUAUUCUUAUGUAGCCAGCCAGCUAUGUAUUUAUUAGCUUUUAACUAGCAAAUCAUUUCUGGUAUUAAUUAUAAAAACGUAACAUAGAUGAUAUAUACAAACUUAACAUUGUGCUAGCUGCAUAGCUAGCUACCUGUUGGUCAGCUACCAUUACCCAAGCAGUCCAGUUCCUCACAUCACUUGUAUAAUGUAAGCUGACCAACAGCUGGCUAGCUAGUCAGCUAAUGUAACCUCGGUAACAAUAGCUAACGUUGGAGACAUAUACAGUGACUGAUGAUGUCGCACUCUUGCCUGUAGAAAAGCAAACCGGUUCUCAGAAGAUUCUCAAGGUAAACCAACUCUAAACCAGCACUGACACUAGCCCAGAACUAACACUAGGUUCGCGUUGGUGGGAUGGGGGUGAGAAUGACCCAAAUCUUAACAUGUUGAUAUGAAUGCCUUCACACCUCCUCAACUGGUCUGUAGAGGGCUGAGGGAAGUGCUGGACGAAAGGGAUGGGGUGGGUGGAGGAUGGCUGUAAAAGGGGUGAAUGAUGGGCUUCCAGGAGGAGAUCAAUAGCUCAAGGCCUUGAGCACAGAUUGGCUCUCACUCCACAGGGAAUUCACCAUAGACCUGCAACUAUGUGCACUAAGCACAACACACGCAACCCAUUUUGCAUCCACCACCUUCAGACUCCACUCCUAACCAAGCCCCUGACCCACCCCUACAAAAACCGUGUCUCUACUCCCUACUGCUUCAGUCCCAUUCAUCAAAACUGAGCUGCACUCUGGGAGUAUAAUAGCUCAAUCACAGAGUCCCCCCUCCCUGCUCCACUCCCCCAGCCCAGUCUGCAGUUGGCAGCACUCAAAACGUUCCCAUCACUGAGCUUUUAGAGAGUUUCUCGUUCUGUCUCUGUGUAUAUUCAGGUAUUUUUAGGAGUCACACAGAGGCCAGAGACAUUUGUUCUGUUUAAUUGGCUGGGUUUGAAUGAUCUUUACCAAUAAUACCAAUACUGCUUCAAGACUGGCUUCAGAAUUACUUUAAGGGUGAUGGGGCAAAAUGAGUUCAUUGGCAGCUUCACAGCAAUAUUAAGCCACAGAUUCCUGUCGUCACUUACAGUUAAAGUUCUCAAAGUGUUGCCAGUCUCACAUACUUACUAGUUCACAAUUAGGUAUUACAGUGCUACAGUCUAGUGUAAUCUGUCCAAAAAGUGUAGAGGUGUAUUAUUACCACAAAUCAAAAGCAUCAGAAAACCAAGGAACAACAUCCAAGGUUAUAAAAUGAAGCCAGCACAGAAGUAACAAAAAGAUGUUGGUAGGCAGGGGCCAAAACCAGGAAAACCAGGUACACCUAGUUGACAUCAUUGUAAAAGCACUUUUGACUAUAUUGUGGUUGUGUGACGGUCUAACACAUAGAUGCUUGGCUACUUCAAGAAUAGGCACAGGACAUCCCUUCAUGCAUCUGCCCCAGAGUUAAUGGAUGAAUGGUGAGGACACGUGUAGACAAACACAAGCCUUGUUGUGCGUAUCCACUAACAGCACUAUUUUAAGAGCAGGGAAGCCUUCCCCUCACUGUUUCCAAAGGGAAAUGUAUGCACAUUGCUGGGAAAUACAAAAUCAAUUUGUCCUCUCUUGUUUAGUGAAGAAGCAGCCGAGAGAGGGAGGAGUCUACUCCACCCUCUUAUUUCUCUUUUACUCUGUUUAUUCUUUCUUUUAGUGCAACUCUUUCUUCUCUCUCAUUUACUCGUAUUAGCACACUUCCCUCUCAACUCUUAUCUACCAUUGCACGUGUUACUAUACUCAAUACCCAUCAUCUUGUGUGUUGAUUCUACUUGAUCCAAUUUGUGUGCGUGCGUGUGUGUGUUGUGCUACCACAAUAUUAGUUUAUACCCCAGGGGGAAAUCUUCUGCCGUUCAGAUGCAAGAAUAGUUAUUGAAAUGUUGUGAUGAUAAAUGGGUAAACACAUGAUAUUUAUUCCACACAGCGCUCAAACUUUAGUUUUUGAAGUCCGUCCCUUAAUCCCAAUGCAGCUAAAUAUGUUGACAAUGCAAAGAACUGCAAAUGCUAAAUUGGAAGACAAUUUAUUCUUAUAGUGUUUGACAGUGUUUUUAAUAAAAGACUGGAUGUUGUGGU